rnacentral:rRNA from 1 species
GAUGAACGCUGGCGGCGUGCUUAACACAUGCAAGUCGAACGGUGAGCACGGAGCUUGCUCUGUGGGAUCAGUGGCGAACGGGUGAGUAACACGUGAGCAACCUGCCCCUGACUCUGGGAUAAGCGCUGGAAACGGCGUCUAAUACUGGAUAUGUGACGUGACCGCAUGGUCUGCGUUUGGAAAGAUUUUUCGGUUGGGGAUGGGCUCGCGGCCUAUCAGCUUGUUGGUGAGGUAAUGGCUCACCAAGGCGUCGACGGGUAGCCGGCCUGAGAGGGUGACCGGCCACACUGGGACUGAGACACGGCCCAGACUCCUACGGGAGGCAGCAGUGGGGAAUAUUGCACAAUGGGCGCAAGCCUGAUGCAGCAACGCCGCGUGAGGGAUGACGGCCUUCGGGUUGUAAACCUCUUUUAGCAGGGAAGAAGCGAAAGUGACGGUACCUGCAGAAAAAGCGCCGGCUAACUACGU